rnacentral:rRNA from 1 species
AUUGAACGCUGGCGGCAGGCCUAACACAUGCAAGUCGAGCGGAUGAAGGGAGCUUGCUCCUGGAUUCAGCGGCGGACGGGUGGGUAAUGCCUAGGAAUCUGCCUGGUAGUGGGGGAUAACGUCCGGAAACGGGCGCUAAUACCGCAUACGACCUGAUGGAGAAAGUGGGGGAUCUUCGGACCUCACGCUAUCAGAUGAGCCUAGGUCGGAUUAGCUAGUUGGUGGGGUAAAGGCCUACCAAGGCGACGAUCCGUAACUGGUCUGAGAGGAUGAUCAGUCACACUGGAACUGAGACACGGUCCAGACUCCUACGGGAGGCAGCAGUGGGGAAUAUUGGACAAUGGGCGAAAGCCUGAUCCAGCCAUGCCGCGUGUGUGAAGAAGGUCUUCGGAUUGUAAAGCACUGUAAGUUGGGAGGAAGGGCAGUAAGUUAAUACCUUGCUGUUUUGACGUUACCAACAGAAUAAGCACCGGCUAACUUCGUG